AACUUUCAACAACGGAUCUCUUGGCUCUCGCAUCGAUGAAGAACGCAGCGAAAUGCGAUAAGUAAUGUGAAUUGCAGAAUUCAGUGAAUCAUCGAAUCUUUGAACGCAUCUUGCGCCCCUUGGUAUUCCGAGGGGCAUGCCUGUUUGAGUGUCA
rnacentral:rRNA from 1 species